rnacentral:lncRNA from 1 species
CAAUAACCCUUAAACUCAAUCCCAUGCUUUCCUUUGUAAUAUUGAACCGUGUAGUACGAUUUCAGAGAGAUCCAUACACUUAAACACAAGUUAUUGUCAUGAUUGUUUGGAAACUAGAAACAUGCUUCUUUUUGGCCCUUAAUUCCUACAUAUUUUGUGCAAUUAACCCAAAACUUAAUCCCAGCCUCCCCUUUGUUAUAUGGUACAUUGUGGUACAAUUUCAGAGCGAUCCAUGCAAUUACACACAAGCUAUUGUCUGGAAACUAGAAAAAUGCUUGUUUUGGCCCCUUUUUGGCCCUUAAUUCCUAAACUUUGGCCCCAUACCCCCUAAAAUGAAUCCAAACCUUCUACUUGUGAUUUUAAACAUUGCAGUAUACUUUCAGAACAAUUGAAAUACUGGUAAAAACUGGAAAAAGUUAUUAUCCUGAAACUAGAAAAAUGCUUGUUUUGGCCCCUUUUGGGCCCCUAAUUCCUAAACGGUUCGGACCAUCAUCCCCAAAAUAAAUCCCAACCUUCCUUUUGUGGUAUUGAACCUUCUGAAAAAAUUUCAUUAAGAUCUAUUCACUUAAACUAAAGUUAUUAUCCGGAAACCAAAGUGUCUUCGGACGACGACGACGCAGACGACGACAUCAUACCAUUAUACGAACCCAAAAUUUUUUUGGGGUCGUAUAAAAAUCAAGGAUUCAAGUUUUGUUGAAAUGAAACAAAGUUUAAUUUUGGACCCCAAUUUGGACCAACUUGAAAACUGGGCCCAUAAUCAAAAAUCUAAGUACAUGUUUAGAUUCAGCAUAUCAAAGAAUCCGAAGAAAUCUUUUUUUGUUAAAAUCAAACAAAGUUUAAUUUUGGACCCUUUGGACCUUAAUGAAGACCAAUUGGA